GGUGAACGCUGGCGGUAGGCCUAACACAUGCAAGUCGAACGGCAGCACAGUAAGAGCUUGCUCUUACGGGUGGCGAGUGGCGGACGGGUGAGGAAUACAUCGGAAUCUACUUUUUCGUGGGGGAUAACGUAGGGAAACUUACGCUAAUACCGCAUACGACCUACGGGUGAAAGCAGGGGAUCUUCGGACCUUGCGCGAUUGAAUGAGCCGAUGUCGGAUUAGCUAGUUGGCGGGGUAAAGGCCCACCAAGGCGACGAUCCGUAGCUGGUCUGAGAGGAUGAUCAACCACACUGGAACUGAAACACGGUCCAGACUCCUACGGGAGGCAGCGGUGGGGAAUAUUAGACAAUGGGGGCAAGCCUGAUCCAGCCAUACCGCGUGGGUGAAGAAGGCCUUCGGGUUGUAAAGCCCUUUUGUUGGGAAAGAAAAGCAGCAGGUUAAUACCCCGCUGUUCUGACGGUACCCAAAGAAUAAGCACCGGCUAACUUCGUG
rnacentral:rRNA from 1 species